UCAUUCUACUCAAUUAUUUCAUUUCUUUUCUUCAGGACGAAACUCAUGGCACAUAUGCAGCCUAGAUAGGCAGCGCACUUGGUUUUGAGACACUGCCUGCUUUGCUCUUCAUUUACACUCAUCAGCUCAGUCCACUCGUUAAUUCUGGAGGGACUACACCUUUUAAAAAUCAUUUCUAGCGCUUCAUGCACAACUGGCACGAGCAUAUCAGACGUAAUCGCUCAUAUGUGCAGUUUAUUUGGGAUUCUGGAGUGAUUUGAGCAGAAGUUUGAGCUGUUACUGAUUGAGCUGUAAUUCACAGGAGCUAAUGUUAGCCUGCUAGCUCUUAAUCUGUUCAUUAACCUGAUCAAAUCAACAUGAAGAUCACUGUGGAUUUUGAGGAAUGCCUCAAGGAUUCACCCAGAUUUAGGGCAACAAUCGAGGAAGUGGAGGGAGAUGUCUGUGAGCUGGAGUCCAAGCUAGACAAGCUGGUGAAACUAUGCAUCGGGAUGAUAGAUGCUGGAAAGGCGUACAACACAGCCAACAAGCAGUUUGUGAACGGGAUUCGGGAGUUGGCACAGCAGUCCGCCAAAGAUGAUGUCAUUGAGUCCAGUCUUACCAAGUUUGCAGAGAAUCUUCAAGAGAUGAUCAACUAUCACACAAUUUUAUUUGACCAAGCACAGCGAUCAAUCAAAUCACAACUCCAGACGUUUGUGCGAGAGGACCUUCGGAAAUUUAAAGAAGCUAAGAAACAAUUUGACAAAGUGAGCGAGGAGAAAGAAGCAGCGCUGUCCAAAAAUGCCCAGGCACCUCGGAACAAACCGCACGAGGUGGAGGAGGCCACCAACAUCCUCAACGCCACACGCAAGUGUUUCCGGCACAUCGUUCUGGACUAUGUGCUGCAGAUUAAUGUGCUCCAGUCCAAAAGACGAUCAGAAAUCCUGAAAUCGAUGCUGUCCUUCAUGUACGCCCACCUGACGUUCUUCCAUCAAGGCUAUGAUCUGUUCAGUGAACUACAACCCCUCAUGAAACACUUGACUGGACAGCUGGAUCAGCUGGUGAUAGAUUCCACAAAAGAGAGGAAGGAUAUGGAGAUGAAACACUCGACUAUUCAACAGAAGGACUUCUCAAAUGACGACACUAAGCUGGAGUACAAUGUGGAUGCAGAAAAUGGGAUUGUCAUGGAGGGAUAUCUGUUCAAGAGGGCCAGUAAUGCCUUCAAAACAUGGAACAGGCGAUGGUUCUCCAUUCAGAACAAUCAGCUAGUGUACCAAAAAAAAUUUAAGGAUAACCCUACAGUUGUGGUGGAAGACUUGCGGUUAUGCACCGUCAAACACUGCGAGGACAUUGAGCGCAGAUUCUGUUUUGAAGUUGUUUCUCCAACAAAGAGCUGUAUGAUGCAAGCGGAUUCUGAAAAACUCAGGCAGGCCUGGAUCAAAGCCGUCCAAAACAGUAUCGCUACAGCCUUCAGGGACAAAGCAGAGGACGUAGAGAAGAUGGACAGAAAGUCGUCUACAUCUACAGGCAGUCUGGACUCUGGUGGCGAUGCGAAGGAGAAGUCUCUUAAGGGUGAAAGUGCGCUGCAAAGGGUCAUGGCCAUAGCCGGAAACAACAGCUGCUGUGAUUGUGGGCAGCCGGACCCGCGCUGGGCGAGCAUCAAUCUGGGCAUCACUCUCUGCAUACAGUGCUCUGGAAUACACAGGAGUCUUGGAGUCCAUUUUUCUAAGGUCAGAUCUCUAACGCUGGACACAUGGGAGCCUGAACUGCUCAAGUUGAUGUGUGAGCUGGGAAAUGGUGUCAUAAAUCAGAUAUACGAGGCUCGACGAGAAGAACUAGGAUCCAGAAAACCACAACCAGGAGAUCCCAGGCAUGAGGUGGAGGCCUACAUUAAAGCCAAGUAUGUGGAGCGAAGGUUUAUACAGAGACGGUCAGAAGAUGAGAUCAGACAGAAGGUGUUAUCACUCAGUAAGCAAGAUAAACGUCUCAGCGGCUGCUCGGAUGCCCAACCUACAAGUGGACCGUCAACAUCAAAACCCCGUCCAGCCUCUGGUUCCUCUGCGCACCUCGAGUCUCUCUUCUGUGUAGAUGAGCUUGAUUCUCUCUUCUCCUACUUUAACUCCUCCGCCAAGCCACGUCAUUUGAAAAGUACAGACGGUGAAACGCAGAACCAAUCAGAUGGAAGCAGAGAGAUGUUGAGUACAAGUGCUUCCUCCAACACGCUCGACGACACAGAAACAACAGAGACGCAUAUCUCCGAGCCUCCAGAAGAGUGUUCUGGUAAAGAUCUGAUGGUUUUCUGUGAGCCGAAGCAGUUCACCCCCGGCCUGCAGCUGUACUGGGCCUCUUUCUCUCGCAGUUUGCCCGAAAUGGCUGAAGCUCUCGCACAUGGAGGCGAAGUUAACUGGACCAACACAGACGAUAAGAACAGGACACCACUAAUAAUGGCUGUUCAUGGGGGUUCUCUCGUCACCUGUGAAUUCCUCCUCCAAAAUUCAGCCAGCGUCAAUCAGCAGGACAAACUCGGCAGAGGACCUUUACAUCAUGCCACUAUACUGGGCCAUACUGGGCAAGCGUGUUUAUUUUUAAAACGGGGAGCCAAUCAGAACGCAGCAGACGUAGAGAAUCAAACGCCACUUUCAAUCGCAGUCAAGGCAGCAAACGCUGAUAUCGUCACGUUGCUUCGGCUGGCCAAGAUGAAUGAGGAGAUGCGUGAAUCGGAGGGUACGUACAGUCAAUCAGGUCAAUAUAACUCUAACAGCCCUACUGAAAUGCAGUACCGGAAGUGUAUGGAAGAGUUCAUUAGUUUACAGCUCAGAGACUCCUAACAUGCAUCAAUUACUCCCAAAUUGCCACAACCUGUAGCAAAUGCACAACAGCUGUGAAUGUACCCAGUAUUUGAAGCUGAGCUUCAUUUGGCCCCAGGAUGGGUUCAUCUGGCCCAAGUGAACAAUAAUAUAGGAUGUUACUGCUGGAACACGUGCAAUAACAAGUCUUGUGAAAGAGUGACGUAACUGUACUGUACAUACAGUAUAUGCACCUUAUUUACAUGUGUAUUUGUGUAUAUUAGUCUUAAAAUUGUCUAAAAGAGUACUGCAAUGAAAGCUCAGUAUAUUUAUGAUCAUUCUGGCACAUUCCUAGUAUUUAUCACAUCAUUUGAUGUACUUGGGAAGUGAAUCAAAUCAGUGUGUUUAUAAAUAUUACAUCCAUGAAGACGUAGUAGAUCUGUACAAUUCAGUGUUAGUUCUGGAUCAAAGACCACUGCUUUUGACAAUAGAUAAAAUAUAGAUAAUUGUUAUGAAUGCAUGUUUUGUUAACAAUAUCAGAGUUAACAAAACAGACCAAUACGUAACAUCUAUUUUAGCAUAAAGUACCACUUUUAUCUAUAUCUAUCUAUCUAUCUAUCUAUCUAUCUAUCUAUCUAUCUAUCUAUCUAUCUAUCUAUCUAUUUAGCUGCUUUAUUUUUUUAUAUAUAUAUAUAUAUAUAAUUUUUUGUGGAAUAGAUUAAAUUAUGUAUUUUCUAGAUUAUUCAGGUAUAUUUCAAGUGAAUUUUGACAGUCUGAAUGUUGUUAUGAAUAUUAUAUUUUGUUCAUUUAAUUUAGUCUAUACUAAUGUGCCAAAGGAGUUGGGUUAAUUAUUAUCUAGAGUUGCAGUACUGGCAUCAGUCACAGAGCGGCGCAAUAGAGCUGGACUUUACGCCGCACAAUGCUGUUCAAGAGUGUUUCAUUUUCUUCCUCUGCUUCAUUUGGCCACAGACGUUUACAUCUUAGAUUUUCGCUGACUUGACAUGAUCUCUUUUAAACAAAUCUUCCAAACUGUAUGCGGCAUAUCAUUAUUGCGACAGAGCACAGUCUAAAAUUAGUGUCUCAGGUUUAUUAAUAUGCAACAUCAAGGUGUUCAGAAGGCCAUAAGUGAAUUAUUAUAUAUAAUUCGGCAAAGCAUGAAAAACUGUUGUAUAUUUCUGAGCAGCGCUGUUCAUGUACUUUAUCAUUUUCAUAACAGUGAGAAACAUUUUAUGUGGCCACCUAUAGCUCAUGUAAUUUGUUUUGAACCCAGAACGUUUCUUGAAAUGGAAAUCUCCACACAUUGCCAAACACUUGACAGUAUUUCAUAAAAAUGUAUUUUAUGUGCUACUAUAGGAGAAAUAUCAAGAAGAAUCAGAUGUAAAAGUCAAUAAAUAUACUUCAUAUACCAUCAUUUGCUGUCAUGUGCUUUUCAACUGCAAACACCUGCGUUUCCUCUUUUAUCUUGCAUUCUCCUGCUGUUCUCUGAGUUUCUGCUCUGAAGUAGCGCAGGAGAUGAAACGUACCAGGACAUUUUCCAAGACUUCACCCAGAUGGCAUCAAAUGACCCAGAAAAACUCAACCGCUACUGAGCAAAAGGCCUGUAGACCAGAUUUUGGAACUUCCUCAUUUUUUUUUAUGGGACCCCCCCCCCCCCUUCUUAAUUUACAAUAUAUUUUUUUUAUAAAAUCAAUAUUGUUGCCCACAUAAUAAUCUGGGUGACAUCAUAUUAUAUUGCGUUUUUGUCUUUUUAUUGUAAAUGUAGAUAAAACUCUUUCAUAUAGUUUUUAAUUCAUGGUUUGGCUCUAUAAAUAUAUCUAUAUAGAUUCUCAGAUGAAAAAGAGUAAUGUAAUAUGUGUUCGAGCCAUAGGAUCUCACUUGUGAAACAUGCCGAACAAUUCUUAAGUAAAUGCAUGAACAAUUUACACUUUUUUUUUUUUUUCUGCUUGUUUCAUAAACGAGGCCCAUUUUUAGCUAAACAGUACAUUUUGGUAAAUUCCAUCGCUGGAUGACUGUAGAGCGAGGAUAAUACAAUUUAAGUUUACAUAAUACCAUUUUUUUUUUUUUUUUAAAUAUACUUUUAUUACAUUCAUUGUGUACUUAGUUUUUUUUUUUUUUUUUGCAAGAUUUUCUCUUCCAAAUAUGCAUUUGAACAUCACACUGCAAUUAUGUUAGCAUGUACACCCCACUGUUUUCUUUGUUCAAAUACUAUUCAAGUGAAACAUAAUCCUACUACAGAAUAAGGGGUGUAAAUUGUGUAUAUUCUGUACAUACAUCAUCUUGGGCUGGGAAACUUUUGGCAUUUUGUGGUACUUUAAAUGUAAUGUAAUAUCAUGAGCUUGUUUGCAUCGUCAUUUUUUUUUUUUUUUUUUUUUUUUUGUGCUUUUUUCUGUAUUUCAUUCUGUAAUCAUUCAAAAUGUAAUUGCUCUGUAUGAUUCAUGCAGUUUAAGAUUAUUUUAUCAACUGCGAAUGUCUGACUGAAAAUAUCUCAAGAUAUAUUAUAAAUUGUUUUCUCUACCAUUUUUUAUAUUUUCAUAUUUCCUUGAAAUACUUUUUUAUAGUAACUAUGUCUAGCUUUUCUCGAUUUUUUUUUUUUUUUUUUUUUUUUUUUUUUUUUUUUUUUUUUUUUUAACCAAAAUGCUAGUCUAAACCUGUGUGUUAAACCGGUCUCGUUUCUACCUUACAUUAUCAGAUUGUGUGAAGAAAUUUCCCAUGCAGCGCAGAUGCCGUGUUAGUAAUGCGCACAGCUCCUGGGCAGAGGCUGAUGUUAUGUAAACAUUGGUGUUGUGUCACUAAAACGCGGCAACCGUUCAGUCGCUCAUGACGGGCUGACCUCAUGGUCUUGCCAGCUGUGCACUGAAUCACCUUUUUUUUAUAUCAUGCUUUUAUAAACCUAGAACAUUACCCAUCA